rnacentral:lncRNA from 1 species
AGCAGGUGGAAGGAGGCGGUGGCGGCGGAGGGGCAGGAUGGCAGGGCCCGUCCUCCUGAGUGUGGGUGCCGCAGUGGGAGCUGGUGGCCGGAAACCCGUGUGCGCCGCCGGGAUCCUGCUCUCCAUCUGCGCCUACUACGUGGAGCGGGAGAAGGAGCGGGACCCCGAGCACCGGACCUUCUGUGACCUGGGACCCUGGGUGAAGUGCUUCGCCGCCCUUGCCUCCAGAUGA